GAUGAACGCUGGCGGCGUGCCUAAUACAUGCAAGUCGAGCGAAUGGAUUGAGAGCUUGCUCUUAUGAAGUUAGCGGCGGACGGGUGAGUAACACGUGGGUAACCUGCCCAUAAGACUGGGAUAACUCCGGGAAACCGGGGCUAAUACCGGAUAACAUUUUGAACCGCAUGGUUCGAAGUUGGAAGGCGGCUUCGGCUGUCACUUAUGGAUGGACCCGCGUUGCAUUAGCUAGUUGGUGAGGUAACGGCUCACCAAGGCAACGAAGCGUAGCCGACCUGAGAGGGUGAUCGGCCACACUGGGACUGAGACACGGCCCAGACUCCUACGGGAGGCAGCAGUAGGGAAUCUUCCGCAAUGGACGAAAGUCUGACGGAGCAACGCCGCGUGAGUGAUGAAGGCUUUCGGGUCGUAAAACUCUGUUGUUAGGGAAGAACAAGUGCUAGUUGAAUAAGCUGGCACCUUGACGGUACCUAACCAGAAAGCCACGGCUAACUACGUGCCAGCCGCCGCUGUAA
rnacentral:rRNA from 1 species